GUGACUAGUGGUAUUUUCUACGUUCCUAAUACUGAGUAAUAUUCAAAACGAGUUCAAUCGUUCAUGACGAAGAGGAGUUGUUCUGGGGUCCAGGCUGAAUGGAUUGCAAGAAUAGUUUAUAUAUAUUAUGGAAUGACUCAACGACUUUGGUGAAAAAUGUUCCGAGUCAUGAGACUAUAAUUUUGAUUGAUAAUUCGCACAAAUAUCAUAUGAUAUGUAACAAAAGAACAUUAUAUAUCCGGGAAAUAGGAUACCAAAUCAUCAAAGUUGAAAACUUAUAGGAAAAAUGAAAACAACUAUCGGGAAGUCCGUGAAGGAGAUUAUAUUUCACUGUUGAUGUAUUUUGCUUAUACGAGUAAUAUAGAUAAGGAUUUCAAAUCAAGAUAAUAUAAUGUCAAAAAUAA
rnacentral:lncRNA from 1 species